GAUUGUUCAAGGAUUUCACCCUCUGGUGAUGCUAAGCGCAUUCCGACGCCAGAACCUUGUUUCGAGGAUGAGCCGUCGAAGUGGAGGAUCCAAACAGCGCUGGGCGACUCUUCUCGAGCGUUUUCUGUUGGAAGUUCGAUGAUAAAAUCGGCGAGGACCUGAGAUUUUGCGCAUGUUUUGUUCCUGUAUUCGAUGUCGUACUCGCUGAGUUCUACUGCCCAC
rnacentral:lncRNA from 1 species